rnacentral:rRNA from 1 species
AUAUUACUAAGGGGAGGAAAAGAAACUAACAAGGAUUCCCCCAGUAACGGCGAGUGAAGCGGGAAUAGCUCAAGCUUGAAAUCCGCUGGUGUAACAGCCUGCGGAGAUGUAGCCUAGUGACGCUCUCUCAGUGCUAGACUGGCUAUAAAUCUCCUGGAAUGGGGUAUCAUAGAGGGUGAGAAUCCCGUCUGUGAGCCAGAUCUAAGUGCGUACGAGGGGUGUUCCAAGAGUCGCGUGCUUGGG